rnacentral:rRNA from 1 species
UACGUAGGUGGCAAGCGUUGUCCGGAUUUACUGGGCGUAAAGGGAGCGUAGGUGGAUAUUUAAGUGGGAUGUGAAAUCCCCGGGCUUAACCUGGGGGCUGCAUUCCAAACUGGAUGUCUAGAGUGCAGGAGAGGAGAGUGGAAUUCCUAGUGUAGCGGCGAAAUGCGUAGAGAUUAGGAAGAACACCAGUGGCGAAGGCGACUCUCUGGACUGUAACUGACACUGAGGCUCGAAAGCGUGGGGAGCAAACAGGAUUAGAUACCCUGGUAGUCCACGCCGUAAACGAUGGGUACUAGGUGUAGGGGUUUCGAUACCUCUGUGCCGCCGUUAACACAAUAAGUACCCCGCCUGGGGAGUACGGUCGCAAGAUUAAA